UGGACCAGUGAUGACAGACAAUGUUUAUGAACAAAGGCUCGUGAUUAAUCCAGUUCUGCACAGACCGCACAGGUCCAUG
rnacentral:snoRNA from 10 species